rnacentral:hammerhead_ribozyme from 1 species
GCACUACUGAGGAGUCCCGCAACAGGACGAAACGGCCGUCCAGUGC